GGGCGAAAGCCUGAUGCAGCAACGCCGCGUGCGCGAUGAAGGCCUUCGGGUUGUAAAGCGCUUUCGGGGAGAAGAGGAAGGACGGUAUCCCCGGAAUAAGGCUCGGCUAACUACGUGCCAGCAGCCGCGGUAAAACGUAGGAGCCAAGCGUUAUCCGAAUUCACUGGGCGUAAAGCGCGUGCAGGCGGCCUGAUAAGUUGGAUGUGAAAUCUCCUGGCUCAACUGGGAGAGGCCGUUCAAGACUGUCGGGCUCGAGGGCGACAGAGGGAGGUGGAAUUCCGGGUGUAGUGGUGAAAUGCGUAGAUAUCCGGAGGAACACCAGAGGCGAAGGCGACCUCCUGGGUCGUACCUGACGCUGAGAUGCGAAAGCUAGGGGAGCAAACGGGAUUAGAAACCCCGGUAGUCCUAGCCGUAAACGAUGUAGACUGGGUGUCGGCGGGGUAAAAGCCGUCGGCGCCGAAGCCAACGCGAUAAGUCUACCGCCUGGGGACUACGGCCGCAAGGUUA
rnacentral:rRNA from 1 species